CCGUUCGAGGAGCGUUGCGACACACCCAUGCUUUUUUGGGGUGCUAGGCUCGAACAAGAAAUAAACAACGGCGCUCACGCUUC
rfam:Limnobacter sp. MED105 1103186003321, whole genome shotgun sequence.